rnacentral:rRNA from 1 species
AUUGAACGCUGUCGGCAUGCUUUACACAUGCACCUCGAACGGUAACAGUCCUUCGGGUGCUGACGAGUGGCGAACGGGUGAGUAAUGCCUCGGAAAGUCCCCAGAGGUGGGGCAAAAACCACCGAACCCUGUGCUAUACCCACUAGUGUCCUCAGGCUUAAAGCGGGGGACCCAUCGGAAAUUUUUGCCUUCCCGCCCUCGGAGCGCCCGAUGUCGGAUUAGCUAGUUGGUGGGGUAAAGGCCUACCAAGGCGUCAAUCCGUACCUGGUCUUAGAGGACGACCAGCCACACUGGGACUGAGACCCGGCCCAGACUCCUACGGGAGGCAGCAGUGGGGAAUUUUGGACAAAGGGCGCAAGCCUGAUCCAGCAAUGCCGCGUGCGGGAAGAAGGCCUUCGGGUUGUAAACCGCUUUUGGCAGGAACGAAACGGUGUCCGCUAAUACCGGGCGCUAAUGACGGUACCUGCAGAAUAAGCACCGGCUAACUACGUG